rnacentral:lncRNA from 1 species
AGGUCUGGGAGAGGUGACUGCCGAGGCGGCCAUCCUGCUUGGCCAGCUGAAGGACCAGGUGCCACCUCCUCUGGGAAGCUUUCCCUGCCCGUCCACAGGGUAUGCCUCCUUGUUCCUCUCCUGCCAUCGGUUUACGUGCCUGUCUCCAUCAACAGACCAGGAGCUCCUGAGGACAGGGACUGAGUCUGCCUGAUUCAUCUCUGCAUUCCUAGCACUUACCUUGGUGCUUAGUGAAAGCUCGAACCUGCCUGGGUUCCCACCUUGUCUCUGCUACCCCCAGCUCUGUGAACUCAGAGUCAUUUUUCUCUCCCCGAGUGGCACCGGGCUCAGCAGACACUCUGGCCAUGAAGGCAUCUUCUGACUCAAGCAGGUCUAGAUGUCUACCCCCAAGGAAUCCCAGAACAGUUGAUCUCUCUUUUUAUUUUUUUAUUUUUUGAGAUGGAGUUUUGCUCUUGUUGCCCAGGCUGGAGUGCAAUGGCGUGAUCUCGGCUCACUGCAACCUCUGCCUCCCAGGUUCAAGCAAUUCUCCUGCCUCAGCCUCCCGAGUAGCUGGGAUUAUAGGCAUGCACCACCACGCCCAGAGCCAACUACUAAGCCUGUAGCAGCCUCCCAAACUGCCCAGUCUUGUUCAGAUGCACCUCCAGAAACACAGGGGUCCAAAAUGCCCCUUCCCAGACACCCUGAGGAGUAGAACAGUGCCAGCAGGCUCCAGGGAUGAGGGACUAGCUACCACAUUCCCUUUCCCAAGCCUCAGUUUCCCCACCUGUAAGAUGAGGGAUAUGGGCUCUGACUUUCUGAGUUUGGAAAAUAAAGUGCUCCCCAAACUGG